CUAACAGUUGGGCAUUUCUGUGGCUCUGAAAGCAAACUUGUUUGUUUCAUUUCAAGGAUAGAAAAAAAACACUCCUGUUUUGGAAAUGUAACCCAGCAUAAAAAUACAUUUGCAAUGGGGUAAAAGAAGGCAGAUUAGGGCCACCCAGAAGAAAAUACUUUUUCCCCAAUUUUUUUUUUUUAAUUUGGUAUUUCCCAGUGUGGGUUUGCCUUAUUUUACAAUUAAGUGCCUAUGUCAAGUUGUGCGUAUGUGAUUUAAAUAUUUUAAUUUGAAUCACAUUUUACAUAGUCUAGGAAACUGACAAAGGAAUCCUAUAGAGAAUUGUUUUAUAAGGUGAAUAACUGCUUCUCUACCUACCCACCCCCCACCAUUCUUCUUUUCUGUGUGUUUUUUGGGGGAUGUUAGGGGAUAAAUCUGGUUUGGCUUAAAAAUCACUAAAAUGCAGCCUUUCAAAUCCAAAACAGAGAGCUUAAGCAUCCAACAUUCUAUAGAAUGUGUUAUUUCCUCAAGUGGUUGCUAGGAACAGUUAUGUAGAUCUACCAGAUGCAGGGAAAACGCUCCACACCCUCAUCCAGGUGCUGUAUCCUUGCAAGACUGCAUUGGAAAGACUGAAGAGAUGGAGUCUCACUCUUGCCCAGGCUGGAGUGCAGUGGCAUGCUCUUGGCUCAUGGAAACCUCUGCCUCCCACGUUCAAGUGAUUCUCAUGCUUCAGCCUCCCCAGUAGCUGGGAUAACAGGUGAGGAAAGUGAGACUUCACCAGACAGGCAGCCAAUCAAUGGCAACAUCAAGAUCUGA
rnacentral:lncRNA from 13 species